rnacentral:rRNA from 1 species
GACGAACGCUGGCGGCGUGCCUAAUACAUGCAAGUAGAACGCUGAAGGAGGAGCUUGCUUCUCUGGAUGAGUUGCGAACGGGUGAGUAACGCGUAGGUAACCUGCCUGGUAGCGGGGGAUAACUAUUGGAAACGAUAGCUAAUACCGCAUAAGAGUAGAUGUCGCAUGACAUUUGCUUAAAAGGUGCAAUUGCAUCACUACCAGAUGGACCUGCGUUGUAUUAGCUAGUUGGUGAGGUAACGGCUCACCAAGGCAACGAUACAUAGCCGACCUGAGAGGGUGAUCGGCCACACUGGGACUGAGACACGGCCCAGACUCCUACGGGAGGCAGCAGUAGGGAAUCUUCGGCAAUGGACGGAAGUCUGACCGAGCAACGCCGCGUGAGUGAAGAAGGUUUUCGGAUCGUAAAGCUCUGUUGUAAGAGAAGAACGAGUGUGAGAGUGGAAAGUUCACACUGUGACGGUAUCUUACUAGAAAGGGACGGCUAACUACGUG